rnacentral:rRNA from 1 species
AUUGAACGCUGGCGGCAGGCCUAACACAUGCAAGUCGAGCGGGGUUUUCGGACCUAGCGGCGGACGGGUGAGUAAUGCGUAGGAAGCUGCCCGAUAGAGGGGGAUACCAGUUGGAAACGACUGUUAAUACCGCAUAAUGUCUACGGACCAAAGUGUGGGACCUUCGGGCCACAUGCUAUCGGAUGCGCCUACGUGGAAUUAGCUAGUUGGUGAGGUAAUGGCUCACCAAGGCGACGAUCUCUAGCUGGUUUGAGAGGAUGAUCAGCCACACUGGAACUGAGACACGGUCCAGACUCCUACGGGAGGCAGCAGUGGGGAAUAUUGGACAAUGGGCGCAAGCCUGAUCCAGCCAUGCCGCGUGUGUGAAGAAGGCCUUCGGGUUGUAAAGCACUUUCAGCGAGGAGGAAGGGUGGUGUGUUAAUAGCACAUCAUUUUGACGUUACUCGCAGAAGAAGCACCGGCUAACUCUGUGCCAGCCGCCGCGGUAAUAC